rnacentral:rRNA from 1 species
GAUCAUGGGCUCAGGAUAAACGCUGGCGGCGCACAUAAGACAUGCAAGUCGAACGGAAGUCGUUGUAAUGAUAUAGACAUGGACGGAGAACUUGCUCAAAGGAAGUGAAAGUUGACUUACAACAAUGGCUUUAGUGGCGGACUGGUGAGUAACACGUAAGCAACCUGCCUAUCAGAGGGGAACAACAGUUAGAAAUGACUGCUAAUACCGCAUAUGCCUAAGUAUCACA